rnacentral:rRNA from 1 species
GGGAGGCAGCAGUGGGGAAUAUUGGACAAUGGGCGAAAGCCUGAUCCAGCAAUGCCGCGUGAGUGAUGAAGGCCUUAGGGUUGUAAAGCUCUUUUACCCGGGAUGAUAAUGACAGUACCGGGAGAAUAAGCUCCGGCUAACUCCGUGCCAGCAGCCGCGGUAAU